AUGGAUCUAGUAUGUCCUUUUCACAUUUGUGGUAUCGAGAGUUUCCAGGUUAGCUCGGGUUGGAGGCCGUCAGAGAUAUUAUCACCCUAUCGAGUUAACGUUAUCGGAGUAAGUAAACUCAAGUGAUUCGAGUCUAUGGCAUGUAUAGGGUUUUAAUGUGAGUAAGUAAUAUUAUGAUUUAGCCAAAGGCAUUGGCUUGUUAUUAAGGUAGUAUUAGUCAUGUAAAUUGGCCUAUGUCGGCUAAUGACAUUAUGGGCCCAUAUGAUUAUUCUUAUGCAUGUAUGUUAUUAUCUCUUGUGAUGUGGCUUACAACAUGUAUACCUAGAGAUUGAAUUGAGAUUCAUUGAUGAGCUAGUAACUAAUGCGGAUUAAGUGAUUGGUAAAUAGUUAAUAAUGCUUCAUGAAUGGUUUGUGAUGUAAUGAUAGUUAUGUCUAGUAUGUGGUAAUGAUAUGGGCAAAUUCUAUAA